AGGACGAACGCUGGCGGCGUGCUUAACACAUGCAAGUCGAGCGGUAAGGCCUUUCGGGGUACACGAGCGGCGAACGGGUGAGUAACACGUGGGUGAUCUGCCCUGCACUUCGGGAUAAGCCUGGGAAACUGGGUCUAAUACCGGAUAGGACUUCAGGUUGCAUGACUUGGGGUGGAAAGAUUUAUCGGUGCAGGAUGGGCCCGCGGCCUAUCAGCUUGUUGGUGGGUAAUGGCCUACCAAGGCGACGACGGGUAGCCGACCUGAGAGGGUGACCGGCCACACUGGGACUGAGACACGGCCCAGACUCCUACGGGAGCAGCAGUGGGAAUAUUGCACAAUGGGCGAAAGCCUGAUGCAGCGACGCCGCGUGAGGGAUGACGGCCUCGGUGUAACCUCUUCAGCAGGACGAAGCGCAAGUGACGGUACCUGCAGAAGAAGCACCGGCUAACUACGUGCCAGCAGCCGC
rnacentral:rRNA from 1 species